CAGCACCUCAAGUGGUCAGGAUGAUUAUUGGGCCUAAAGCAUCCGUAGCCGGCGCUGUAAGUUUUCGGUUAAAUCUGUACGCUCAACGUACAGGCUGCCGGGAAUACUGCAGCGCUAGGGAGUGGGAGAGGUAGACGGUACUCGGUAGGAAGGGGUAAAAUCCUUUGAUCUAUUGAUGACCACCUGUGGCGAAGGCGGUCUACCAGAACACGUCCGACGGUGAGGGAUGAAAGCUGGGGGAGCAAACCGGAUCAGAUACCCGAGUAGUCC
rnacentral:rRNA from 1 species